UACGUAGGGUGCGAGCGUUAAUCGGAAUCACUGGGCGUAAAGGGCGCGUAGGCGGCUUUAUAAGUCGGGGGUGAAAGCCUGUGGCUCAACCACAGAAUUGCCUUCGAUACUGUAGAGCUUGAGACCGGAAGAGGUAAGUGGAACUGCGAGUGUAGAGGUGAAAUUCGUAGAUAUUCGCAAGAACACCAGUGGCGAAGGCGGCUUACUGGUCCGGUUCUGACGCUGAGGCGCGAAAGCGUGGGGAGCAAACAGG
rnacentral:rRNA from 1 species